GCAGGUUGGGAAGGCCAAGUCAUCCAACUGAUUGUGCUAAACCAGAAUAUAUCCACACCUUCGAUUGAAUGGCCAACCAUGAGGUCAUCUGCGUGAUGACCAUCAGCGUAUCUACAGACAUGGAAGCCAGCUCUAGAUGCAAGCAUAAAGAGACAUGUGGAAAACCAACUCUCCUCAAGCCCAGGAGCUGAAGAAAUGUCAGCAAGCAAGGGAGCAUAAAGGAAAACAUAAAAUCCCAUGGGCCUACUUCACAAUGAAGAUUGUAUACAGUCAAAGUGGCAUGACAAACUCCCUCCAUUAUUACCCUCAUUUGGGACGAAGUUUUACAUCGGAGAAGAGUGUUUCAGUAGAAGCCUUACUGGUUAGGGAUCAGGGAAGUCAAAGACAUUUAAAGAGCGCCAGGUUGGGAAAAUGUUCUUCUUUCUUUAUUGAAGUUACUUAUGGGGAUAAAGA